rnacentral:rRNA from 1 species
UACGAAGGGGGCUAGCGUUGCUCGGAAUCACUGGGCGUAAAGCGCACGUAGGCGGCUUCUUAAGUCAGGGGUGAAAUCCUGGAGCUCAACUCCAGAACUGCCUUUGAUACUGAGGAGCUUGAGUCCGGGAGAGGUGAGUGGAACUGCGAGUGUAGAGGUGAAAUUCGUAGAUAUUCGCAAGAACACCAGUGGCGAAGGCGGCUCACUGGCCCGGUACUGACGCUGAGAUACGAAAGCGUGGGGAGCAAACAGG